CCUACGGGAGGCAGCAGUGGGGAAUAUUGCACAAUGGGGGGAACCCUGAUGCAGCAACGCCGCGUGGGUGAAGAAGUACUCCGGUAUGUAAAGCCCUGUCAGCAGGGAAGAAAAUGACGGUACCUGACCAAGAAGCCCCGGCUAACUACGUGCCAGCAGCCGCGGUAAUACGUAGGGGGCAAGCGUUAUCCGGAUUUACUGGGUGUAAAGGGAGCGUAGACGGCAAGGCAAGGCUGGAGUUAAAGCCCGGGGCCCAACCACGGGACUGCUUUGGAAACUGUGUUGCUGGAGUGCAGGAGGGGUAAGCGGAAUUCGUAGUGUAGCGGUGAAAUGCGUAGAUAUUAGGAGGAACACCGGUGGCGAAGGCGGCUUACUGGACUGUAACUGACGUUGAGGCUCGAAGGCGUGGGGAGCAAACAGGAUUAGAUACCCCUGUAGUC
rnacentral:rRNA from 1 species